GAUGAACGCUGGCGGCGUGCCUAAUACAUGCAAGUCGAGCGAACGGACGAGAAGCUUGCUUCUCUGAUGUUAGCGGCGGACGGGUGAGUAACACGUGGAUAACCUACCUAUAAGACUGGGAUAACUUCGGGAAACCGGAGCUAAUACCGGAUAAUAUUUUGAACCGCAUGGUUCAAAAGUGAAAGACGGUCUUGCUGUCACUUAUAGAUGGAUCCGCGCUGCAUUAGCUAGUUGGUAAGGUAACGGCGUACCACGGCAACGAUGCAUAGCCGACCUGAGAGAGGGAUAGCCGACACUGGAACUGAGACACGGUCCAGACGCCUACGGGAGGCAGCAGUAGGGAAUCUUCCGCAAUGGGCGAAAGCCUGACGGAGCAACGCCGCGUGAGUGAUGAAGGUCUUCGGAUCGUAAAACUCUGUUAUUAGGGAAGAACAUAUGUGGAAGUAACUGUGCACAUCUUGACGGUACCUAAUCAGAAAGCCACGGCUAACUACGUG
rnacentral:rRNA from 1 species